AUGCUUGCUUCAGCAGCACACAUAAUAAAACUGGAAUGCUAUGAAGACUAUUGCAAAUGGUCUCUGCACAAGGAUGACAGGCAAAUUCGUGAAGCAUUUCAUACUUUU
ensembl:snRNA U6 U6 spliceosomal RNA